CAAUAGCGUAUAUUAAAGUUGUUGCAGUUAAAAAGCUCGUAGUUGGAUUUCGGGGCAGCCUGGCUGGUCCGCCGCAAGGCGAGUACUGGUCAGCCGCCCUUCCUCUCGAAAGCCCCGACUGCUCUUUAUUGCAGUGGUCGGGUAGUUCGGGACGUUUACUUUGAAAAAAUUAGAGUGUUCAAGGCAGGCCUACGCCUGAAUACAUUAGCAUGGAAUAAUGGAAGAGGACCUCGGUCCUAUUUUGUUGGUUUCCAGGACCGAAGUAAUGAUUAAGAGGGACAGUUGGGGGCAUUCGUAUUUAAUUGCCAGAGGUGAAAUUCUCGGAUUUAUGAAAGACGAACAACUGCGAAAGCAUUUGCCAAGGAUGUUUUCAUUAA
rnacentral:rRNA from 1 species